UACGUAGGGAGCGAGCGUUGUCCGGAUUCAUUGGGCGUAAAGCGCUUUAAGGCGGUUCGCUAAGUCGGGUGUGAAACCUCCAGGCUCAACCUGGAGACGCCACUCGAUACUGGCGUGACUAGAGUUCGGUAGGGGAUCACGGAAUUCCUGGUGUAGCGGUGAAAUGCGCAGAUAUCAGGAGGAACACCGGUGGCGAAGGCGGUGAUCUGGGCCGACACUGACGCCGUAGAGCGAAAGCGUGGGGAGCGAACAGG
rnacentral:rRNA from 1 species